rnacentral:rRNA from 1 species
GAUGAACGCUAGCUACAGGCUUAACACAUGCAAGUCGAGGGGAAACGAUAGAGAAAGCUUGCUUCUUCUAGGCGUCGACCGGCGCACGGGUGAGUAACGCGUAUCCAACCUGCCCAUCACUUGGGGAUAACCUUGCGAAAGUAAGACUAAUACCCAAUGAUAUCUCAAGAAGACAUCUGAAUGAGAUUAAAGAUUUAUCGGUGAUGGAUGGAGAUGCGUCGGAUUAGCUUGUUGGCGGGGUAACGGCCCACCAAGGCGACGAUCAGUAGGGGUUCGGGGACGAAGGUCCCCGACGUUGGAACUGAGACACGGUCCAAACGCCGACGGGAGGCAGCAGUGGGGAAUAUUGGUCAAUGGGCGAGAGCCGGAACCAGCGAAGUAGCGUGUAGGAUGACGGCCCUAUGGGUUGUAAACUGCUUUUAUACAGGAAUACAGUGAGCCUCGUGAGGCUUUUUGCAUGUACCUUAUGAAUAAGGACCGGCUAAUUCCGUGCCAGCCGCAGCCGUAA